AAUCAACGCUGGCGGCGUGCCUAACACAUGCAAGUCGAACGCGAAAGUCCCGCAAGGGAUCAGUAGAGUGGCAAACGGGUGAGUAACGCGUGGGUGACCUGCCUUCGAGCGGGGGAUAACGUUCCGAAAGGGACGCUAAUACCGCAUAACAUCCUGCCUUUGAAGAGGUGGAGAUCAAAGCUGGGGAUCGCAAGACCUAGCACUUGAAGAGGGGCCCGCGUCCGAUUAGCAGUUGGUGAGGUAACGGCUCACCAAGGCAACGAUCGGUAGCCGGCCUGAGAGGGCGGACGGCCACACUGGGACUGAGACACGGCCCAGACUCCUACGGGAGGCAGCAGUGGGGAAUUGUUCGCAAUGGGCGCAAGCCUGACGACGCAACGCCGCGUGGAGGAUGAAGA
rnacentral:rRNA from 1 species